rnacentral:rRNA from 1 species
UGGGGAAUAUUGGACAAUGGGCGAAAGCCUGAUCCAGCCAUGCCGCGUGUGUGAAGAAGGUCUUCGGAUUGUAAAGCACUUUAAGUUGGGAGGAAGGGCAGUAAGUUAAUACCUUGCUGUUUUGACGUUACCGACAGAAUAAGCACCGGCUAACUUCGUGCCAGCAGCCGCGGUAAUACGAAGGGUGCAAGCGUUAAUCGGAAUUACUGGGCGUAAAGCGCGCGUAGGUGGUUUGAUAAGUUGGAUGUGAAAGCCCCGGGCUCAACCUGGGAAUUGCAUCCAAAACUGUCUGACUAGAGUAUGGCAGAGGGUGGUGGAAUUUCCUGUGUAGCGGUGAAAUGCGUAGAUAUAGGAAGGAACACCAGUGGCGAAGGCGACCGCCUGGGCUAAUUACUGACACUGAGGUGCGAAAGCGUGGGGAGCAAACAAGGAUUAGAUACCCUGGUAGUCCACGCCGUAAACGAUGUCGACUAGCCGUUGGGGAUCCUUGAGAUCUUAGUGGCGCAGCUAACGCAUUAAGUCGACCGCCUGGGGAGU